CCCUUGGUGGUGUAGUUGGUUAUCGCGUUCGGCUGUAAUUGAAAUAUCUAUAUCUAGAUAUGAUUGUAUACCGAAAUGUCGCCGGUUCGAUUCCGGCCCGAGGGA
rnacentral:tRNA from 1 species